AUUGAACGCUGGCGGCAGGCCUAACACAUGCAAGUCGAACGAGUGGCGGACGGGUGAGUAAUGUCUGGGAAACUGCCCGAUGGAGGGGGUUAACUACUGGAACCGGUAGCUAAUCCCGCAUACCAUCGGAUGUGCCCAGAUGGGAUUAGCUAGUAGGGGGGGUAAGGGCUCACCUCGGCGACGAUCCACAGCUGGUCUAAGAGGAUGACCAGCCACACUGGAACUGAGACACGGUCCAGACUCCGACGGGAGGCAGCAGUGGGGAAUAUUGCACAAUGGGCGCAAGCCUGAUGCAGCCAUGCCGCGUGUAUGAAGAAGGCCUUCGGGUUGUAAAGUACUUUCAGCGGGGAGGCGUUACCCGCAGAAGAAGCACCGGCUAACUCCGUGCCAGCCGCCGCGGUAAUAC
rnacentral:rRNA from 1 species